UACGAAGGGGGCUAGCGUUGCUCGGAAUGACUGGGCGUAAAGGGCGCGUAGGCGGAUGGUACAGUCAGAUGUGAAAUUCCCGGGCUCAACCUGGGGGCUGCAUUUGAUACGUAUGAUCUUGAGUGGGGAAGAGGGUCGUGGAAUUCCCAGUGUAGAGGUGAAAUUCGUAGAUAUUGGGAAGAACACCGGUGGCGAAGGCGGCGACCUGGUCCUUUACUGACGCUGAGGCGCGAAAGCUAGGGGAGCGAACGGG
rnacentral:rRNA from 1 species